AAAAAUAUUUUAAUCAAUCGUCUGUAUUUUAAGCACAAAUGAAGCAUUAGAUAGAUUUAAUGUCAGAUGAAUCCACUGUAUUUUUGUGUCUUUUGUUUCGCGCGCUUUCUAGCCAUAAACGAAACUACCAUUUUUGUGUCACUUCCAACGUUACCGACUCAAUGUAGAAUAAAAUUACGACAUUCAUGGUGGUUAGAAUUGGAACUAAUUAGUACUAUAAACAUAAUUUCUACAUUCAUAUAACAAGUCUUAACAUUCAUUAAGGAAAACAACCUGGAACACAAUGAAUCUUGUUGUCUUCCAUAUUGAUAUUUUACGACUUAAUUUAUGAAUGGUUUUUUCCACUCUUUCGGUAUAAGUAUCAAAUGGAUAAUGUCGCAUGCGAAAACGGAUAUCUUAUAAUCGCAACGUAUAUCGUUAUAUCGAUAAAAUAAUGAAGGUAAGGAAGCGAAUAGUGGAAAUUACUUUGAGGAACAAAAUCAUUACUUACAAGAAGCAUUACUCUGUUAUCCACUGGGAAUAAAAGCGCAUAGAAUCACGUAGAAAUUUCUACGAAUAAACAACAUGUUUGUAAAUAAUGUGAUUUUUCAAUGAAAUUUAAAAAGUAAAAUUUUUAUAAAAAUUUAAUUUGUAUUUAAUAAAAAGUUUUCUUUUAAAAUUCUAUUUCAAUAAAACUGUUCAUAUGCACAUCUCAUAUUGCCUUUAUUUGUUCAUUCUUUGGUAUUUUAUUCGAGUUUAAAAUAAAAUACACAUUACGAAACCUACUAUAGGUAAAAAGGGAUCUCUCCAUCGAAUAAAAACUCCGUAUAUUAUAUUAUAUGCAAUAAUUUAAUUCGCAAAAUGUCUUACAAUAUAACGUCGAAGUAUGCGACGCGUCGUUGGUGAAUUAUGCUGUUGUUUUUGCACCUAUAUUUUGUUACGUCUCGCGACACCAACCACGCGUGGCAUUUCUUCGUUUCGUUUUCUAGUCUCUUAAUGACCAGUCGCAUGAAUAAUCGGCA